GCAUUCCGUUGAUGUAGACGGCGUGAAAACGGAAACAAGUAUGCCGGCUCACUGUACUGCAAUACAGUUACACACUGCGUCGUACGAUUGAGACAAGGAAACUUGGAAUGACUUUUCAUAGGUUUCCCAGAGACUAUGGGUUGAGGAGGAAGUGGAAGUUUGUCGGCUUAGACCUGGUGUCAUUCCAUCAGUGUUAAAGUUCCCGGCUCAUCUUGGAAGAGUACGUGCCAGAAAGACCACGACCAAGCAGCCUUGAGAUCUUAGGCAGCGUCUCCCUGAGGUCCCUCUCUAUCUCCCCACACAUCCACCAACCACUGGAACACAUCUCCAAAGUUCUGCCAGGCCAGCUCAGCUUCCCCUCAGAAGAAGUGCCGCCACCUGCCAGAUGAAGGAGCCUUUUGAGAGGCAGCUGGCAUCGUGAUUGGACUGUACUUUGGUCUGUUCCAAUCCAGCUUCAGCUCCAGAGACGGCAGGCGGGACGAGUCAACGGAGGCCGGGUGGACGAAGGCAUGCAGCUGAGUACAAUCCAGAAAACAACAGAGGAGGAGUGCAGCAUCCCAGGGCCAGAACAAGCAGAGUAGCAUCGUAUGUCUCUUAGAAAACAUCAUAGUAUAGCCUUUGCUAUGAAAAAACGCCAUCAUAUACAUCGUAUAUUGUACAAAUAACAAGUCAAAGGAAAGAGACAUACAUUGUAGAAUUGUAGUAAUUGUGGGCUGACUGAUCUACUGAUGAUCAGUAUUUUAUUUUUUACUGAUUUACGGUAAUAAAUACAUUUAAAAAUGGCUUUAUCUACCUGUGGUCGCGCUGUCUUCUGGAGUGAUUUGAUUGGUUAUACGUAAUGAAUAAAACUCCUUUAACUUAACAUCUGUAAACAAAACAAAAACGUAUCAAUAAAGUUUUCUGUUAGAGUUUGUGUUCUUCUAAGUUUAACUCAAGAUUUUAAAUACUUUCAUUUACUGCAAAUGAAUAUCUACUCCAAAUGUCUCACUAAUAAUCAUUAUCAGCCUUAAAAACCCACAAAACACCCCUCUAUACUCGACCACCUUAGUACAGUCCGGUUCCCCCUUCUAUGAAUCUGCUUGGAAUCUUCCACUUCCUGUUUGUCAAAGUGGCCUUCUACCUGGACAGGUUUUGUUGGAGCUCAUGCAACAAACAUUUUGGGUAACUGCACUUUAAUAUGGAUGGAUGACACUGAAUUAGAGUCUGUUUUAAUGAGACUGAGUUAAGAUGUGUAGCUCUGUCAUUAAAUAGUAAAUUAUUUCUCAGAAUUCACAGAGAAAAGUCUGAAAUGUUUGCUAGGUUAGCGUCCCACAUGUUCUUUGGCUCAGCUAAAGCUAACUCUUGCCAA